rfam:Pseudogymnoascus pannorum VKM F-4518 (FW-2643) contig_2322, whole genome shotgun sequence.
UCAGGUGAUGAUAUAAUUUGCGAUUGACCUUGUGUUCGUGGGACCCUCGCCGGGGUUUCUAUACGGCGCGAGAGAGAGAUAUACCUUUCUUACAUAUCCUGAUU